UUUGGUUCACAGGGGAGCGCAAGCUGAGAAAGGUAAGACCUGACCCUCAAAACCUGAUCUGGAUAAUACCAGCGAAGGGAGUGAUGUACACACAAGU
rnacentral:ncRNA from 2 species